GCGUGGGUAGUAUAGCGGCAGUAUCUUUGGCUUCCAACCAAAUGACCCGGGUUCAAAUCCCGGCCCGCGCA
rnacentral:tRNA from 1 species